rnacentral:rRNA from 1 species
AUUGAACGCUGGCGGAAUGCUUUACACAUGCAAGUCGAGCGGCAGCACGGGGGCAACCCUGGUGGCGAGCGGCGAACGGGUGAGUAAUACAUCGGAACAUGCCCAGUCGUGGGGGAUAACACUUCGAAAGAAGUGCUAAUACCACAUACGUCCUGAGGGGGAAAGCGGGGGAUCGCAAGACCUCGCGCGAUUGGAGUGGCCGAUGUCAGAUUAGCUAGUUGGUGGGGUAAAGGCCUACCAAGGCAACGAUCUGUAGCUGGUCUGAGAGGAUGAUCAGCCACACUGGGACUGAGACACGGCCCAGACUCCUACGGGAGGCAGCAGUGGGGAAUUUUGGACAAUGGGGGCAACCCUGAUCCAGCCAUUCCGCGUGAGUGAAGAAGGCCUUCGGGUUGUAAAGCUCUUUCGGCAGGAACGAAACGGUGAGCUCUAACAUAGCUUGCUAAUGACGGUACCUGAAGAAGAAGCACCGGCUAACUACGUG